rnacentral:rRNA from 1 species
AUACGUAGGGGGCAAGCGUUGUCCGGAUUUAUUGGGCGUAAAGAGCGUGUAGGCGGCUUUACAGGUCCGUUGUGAAAACUCGAGGCUCAACCUCGAGACGCCGGUGGAAACCGUAAAGCUAGAGUCCGGAAGAGGAGAGUGGAAUUCCUGGUGUAGCGGUGAAAUGCGCAGAUAUCAGGAAGAACACCCGUGGCGAAGGCGGCUCUCUGGGACGGUACUGACGCUGAGACGCGAAAGCGUGGGGAGCGAACAGGAUUAGAUACCCUGGUAGUCCACGCCGUGAACGAUGGGUGCUAGGUGUAGGGGGUGUCGACUCCCUCUGUGCCGAAGCUAACGCAUUAAGCACCCCGCCUGGGGAGUACGGCCGCAAGGCUAAAACUCAAAUGAAUUGACGGGG